rnacentral:tRNA from 1 species
GUGGUAGCUCAGUGGUAGAGCGCUUGCCUAGCACACAUGAGGUGCUGGGUUCGAUCCUCGGCACCACA